CCCUGAAGUAGCGGGCGAGCGAACGGGGACGAGUCCAUGCACUGAAGCUUGUGGGCCGUUUGGUCGGCAAGCGCUGUGGUGUUGGUCGAGUGCGUGUUCGGCGUGUGUAUGUCGUGCAAGUUCCCUUGAUUGGGUCCUCAUAGAUGGUGGAAGGCCAGUCGGACGUCCUGCGCAUUGCCGGCAAGCAUGGCGCAUUCGAGUCGAGUCGGGUUGUUUGAGAGUGCAGCCCAAAGUGGGUGGUAAACGGCACCUGAGACUGAAUAUGACUACGAGACCGAUAGCGAACAAGUACCGUGAGGGAAAGUUGAAAAGGACUCUGAAGAGAGAGUUCAAGAGGGCGUGAAACAGCUCAGUGGGACCCGGACGGAGCUGUCGUUAGCCGGUGGCACUCAAUCGAGCCCUUUUGUGCGUGCUGGCGCGUCGUGGAGGCUGCGCUGAUUGGCUGUGGCCGAGCGGUGUGCUGGUGUUGGUGCAGGGGCUUGAUGCAUUUGCUGCCCGGGCGCGCCACCCGAGACGAUCGUGCCGGCCCAAACCGAAACCAAUCGACGUCGAUCGGCGUGGCCGGUGGUUGGUUGUGGUGCUGAAGAGUGCGGUGGACGAACCGUGCUGUUGAGCGGUGGUUUUGGUGUUGGUGCCCGUCGAAGUGCGGAUAGUCUUGUGUGAGGCAGGUCCACCAGAACGGUUGGUUCGGGUGCAGGCGUCAUUGUGUGCAUGGGUGGGUGUUUGGAGCGUGGCAUGGAUGGGCGCGUAGCGUGCUGCGCGUGCAUCUGUGUUGCGACGAGCACCUGCGGUGUGCGCUGACAAGCCAGGACCUUGCUGGGGUGGCGUCCGUGUCAGCCGACCGUCCGACCCGUCUUGAAACACGGACCAAGGAGUCUCACUUGCACGCGAGUCGUUGGCUGUGUGCGAAAGCCGUGGGCGUAAUGAAAGUGUGCUCUUCGAGGAGCAAGCGACGAUCCCCUUGGGCCGCCGCGUCUGGUCUUGGGGUGGCAGUCGCAUGCCGUCUGAUGCCGCGCGUGUUGAGCGUGCCGGUGGGAUGGUUAUGGAGCGUGCCAGUGGGUACCCGAAAGAUGGUGAACCUAUGCUUNAGCAGAACGAAGCCAGAGGAAACUCUGGUGGAGGUUCGUAGCGGUGUUGACGUG
rnacentral:rRNA from 1 species